rnacentral:lncRNA from 1 species
AUGGCUUAACGGAUUACCCGUUAAGAAAAUUGAAUAAUCAGCUCCCAAACCGCUAAGCCGUUAAUAAAAAAAAUUCAAUCCGUUCUCCGUUCGUUAAGCCGUUAAGCCGUUACCAUCAAGCCAUUAAGCUUCGGUUCGGUUCGAUUUUCGGUUACGGAUCGGUUUUGAACACCCCUACAGCAGGAUGCCUGUCAGUAUGAGCAUUGAAAGACAUAGAGUCUGGGCUGAUAUGAGAGACAG